rnacentral:lncRNA from 1 species
GGUUGCAGAGCCCAUAAACAGCGUGGUUACAGAGCCCAUAAACAGCAUGGUUGCAGAGCCCAUAAACAGCGUGGUUACAGAGCCCAUAAACAACGUGGUUGCAGAGCCCAUAAACAGCGUGGUUACAGAGCCCAUAAACAGCGUGGUUGCAGAGCCCAUAAACAACGUGGUUGCAGAGCCCAUAAACAGCGUGGUUGCAGAGCCCAUAAACAGCGUGGUUGCAGAGCCCAUAAACAGCGUGGUUGCAGAGCCCA